rnacentral:lncRNA from 1 species
AUCAAUAAAACAAUUAAACAAAAGGAAUUAUCUGAAUCUUAUACAUUUUGAGAGUUGAUAGUAAAAAUCAUGAAAUUCUAAGAAUAGAGUUUACAAAGCUAAUAUGAAGUAAAUACAUCUUCUAUUUGAAAAGUACAUAAACAGAGUUUUAUAAAUCAAUGGCUACCUUGAACAAGAGCCAUCUACAACAGGUACACAGGUACACCUUCAAAUUCAGCUCACAUUGAGCACAGCAACAAUAACAGCCAACAUCUGCACGCAAUGUGUAGAAGCGUAAUAUGAGUACAACCGACCCAUGUACUCAAUAAGUAACAAACCUAACCUUAGAUUGAAAGUAGUGAUGAGUUGGAAUAUAGGUCGGGUCCAACACCAAUAACCAAUAGCAGUUCAUAACAGUGUAAAGAAAAUAAAAAAAGAAGUAACUCGGAAUUUAAACUGCUGAGCCUUUUCCAUAAUUUCCGAAAAUAGUUCAGCUUUUCAAGUAUAUCAGUGAAAAUACAAAUCCUUUACCAAAAUCGUCAAAAAAUAUGAGAUAGUUUUAAAACUCUAAAUUAUCUAAAAAUUCUUUCCAUAAUAAAUAAGAUGUUUCAUUUCCUUUCUAGAUAACAAGUAUGAAAUACCUCUUUAUUGCACACAUAUCAAUAUGUAUAAAUCCGACGAUUUUUUUUGCUAUGGUUCCGCAAUUACGAUACGGAUCUAAUGGUUCAAUAAAAAAUAGAAAUUGGGUGUCAUUUUGUUAAUAUAGUACCAUUUAUGCUUGAAGAAAUGAUAUCGAAACAUAAAUAACAAGCUCAACACAACCCAAACCUAUCUCAAACUCACCUGAGACCCUCAGAACCCUAUCCGAACAUACCAACAAGUCCCAUAAAAUAGAACGAACCUAUUCGAGGCCUGAAAUCACGUAUAAUAACAUCGAAACAACGAAUCACAUCUCAAAUCAAUCUUAAUUAACUUUUUCAAACCUUCAAAUUUUAAUUUUCUCCAAUUAGUGUCGAAUCCUUCUGGAAAUAUCCAAUUGCAAAGUCUUCAAAAUUAUUCUUUGGGCCUAACGGAAUCAUUCAAACUCCAAUCCGAGGUCAACUGUAAAAAAGUUCAACUUACAACUUUUCCAACUUAAAGCUUCAAUCAUGAAAUUCAUCCUUCCAAAUCGAUUCCGAACAAUCAGGAAAUCAAAACAAAAAAUUUACACAAAUUAUAAUACAUCUCGUGGAGAUACUCGUACCCUCAAACUACCGAACAACGUGUAACGUUCAAAACGAUCGAUGGAGUUAUAAUAAAAAGUUAAAAGUAGAGUAUUAUAGUUGUU